ACAUGCCUACAUCAUAGUGUUAAUGCAUCAGAUCCCAUUAGAACUCCACAAUUAAGUGCGCUUGAGCUAGAGUAAUAUUGGGAUGGGUGAUCGCCUCGGAAGUCCUAGUGUUUACAUGCC
rnacentral:rRNA from 1 species